rnacentral:rRNA from 1 species
AGGGUUUGAUUCUGGCUCAGGACGAACGCUGGCGGCGCGCUUAACGCAUGCAAGUCGAGCGAUGAAAUUUUGACAGAUCCCUUCGGGGUGAAGACAAAAUGGAUUAGCGGCGGACGGGUGAGUAACACGUGAGUAACCUGCCUUAGACAUUGGGAUAGCCUCGGGAAACCGGGAUUAAUACCGAAUAAAAUCAUAGGUGCACAUGCACUAAUGAUCAAAACUCCGGUGGUCUAAGAUGGACUCGCGUCCCAUUAGCUAGUUGGUAGGGUAACGGCCUACCAAGGCGACGAUGGGUAGCCGGCCUGAGAGGGUGAACGGCCACAUUGGAACUGAGAAACGGUCCAA